rnacentral:rRNA from 1 species
CAGUAGCCGCGGUAAUACGAGGGGGGCAAGCGUUGUUCGGAAUUAUUGGGCGUAAAGGGUGCGUAGGCGGUUUAACAAGUCUUAUGUGAAAUCUCUGGGCUCAACCCAGAGUCUGCAUGGGAAACUGUCGGGCUUGAGUAUGGGAGAGGUGAGUGGGAUUUCCGGUGUAGCGGUGAGAUGCGUAGAUAUCGGAAGGAACACCUGUGGCGAAAGCGGCUCACUGGACCAUAACUGACGCUGAGGCACGAAAGCUAGGGGAGCAAACAGGAUUAGAUACCCGCGUAGUCCCUGUCUCUUAUAC